CCCAACUGAAUUCCAGAGCUUCCAACAUCACAGAGUUUGAUUAUGGGGCUGAGCAUCAUUCAGCAGUGCAUUUUUAUACUCAUGUUAGCACAAGGUUUUUGCAGUGCUGAGAUCAGACUGGACCAGUCUCCUGCUGUGGUAAAGAAACCUGGAGAAACUGUGAUCUCCUGUAAAAUAAGUGGAUAUUCCAUGACUAGCUACAAUAUACACUGGAUACGACAGAAACCUGGGAAAACUCUAGAAUGGCUUGGCUGGAUGAGCACUGGCAACAAUCGAGGAACAUAUGCAGAGUCUGUGAAAAACCAGUUGACCUUCACAGAAGACGUCUCAGCAAACACACAGUAUUUAGAGGCCAAGAGUCUGAGGACAGAGGACACUGCGGUUUAUUACUGCGCCCGAUAAGCCACAGUGACUGGAACUGAGGAAGCAGCUGUACAAAAAC